GUGGUCUGGACAAGUUGCUCAGAGACAUGCCGCUCUAGCCCUUUCACUUUUCCUGUCUGUACCCGGGAGUGUCACGGAGCAGAAAGGCACCUUUUGAGCCUCCCUUGGCUAAUGUACAUCUGCUCGCUUGCUGGCACAGAACUUGAGAAUUGGUGAAAAAAGAGACAUGCUGUUGAAGCUUUUCAUCCUGUACUCAACAGGCCAGAUGCAAGAAUGCCAAAUUUCAAAGGGAGCAACAAUUUAUACUGCAUGAGAAAAGGGUGCUGAUUGGUUAGCAAAUCGACUCUGGUCAAGGUGUUGCCAUGGAGAAUUAACCAGGGGACUAUUGUCUCCCAUGCUUCUGUUUAAUUUUAAAAAAAUGCAAUGCCUGGUCAUGUUCCUUUUGCCUGCAGAGGACACAUUCCUGUGUAUGAAUGUUUGUAGCUUCUAGCAAGCAUAGGUGAGCCAUGUUGAAAGCCCAACUGAUAAUCUUAAAUGGGUUGUUCGUGUAAUUCUUAACACACUAAGGAUUGUUCAGCAAGUGUUGUCCAAUCGUGGAAUGACAUCUAGUGUUAGACAUUAUGUCCUGAGAUGUGCAAGUGUGGACUGGCUGCGUACUCUGCCUGUUGUGAACAGCCGAAGGGACGUGCCGUUUGAUACCAGUCGUUGGCAUGUUUGACCUACAUACCUGGCAGCGCACUGGGACUGAACUUCAUAGACCACAUUACUCAUUUGUGUGGUAGGCAGAACAUACUUUUGGCUUGAUGGCAGCACCCUGUUAGUGCAAAACGCUAGUCGUGUAGUUACUGUGCAGUAGCAGCGUGAAACAACAAGCCUCAGCUCUUUCCAAAGCUUUGGCAGCAUGUAUCUCUUUUAAGCAAUACUGAUGUAUACCUGCAGAUCACAGCGAGCAUCUGCUGAUGCAUUGUUGAGGAAUACUGCAGGCUGCAAGUUGACAUUUCAAUAAACAAGUGUUAUGA